CAGGGAAUCUUGCGCAAUGGGCGAAAGCCUGACGCAGCGACACCGCGUGGGGGAAGACGGCCUCUGGGUUGUAAACCCCUUUUCUCGAGGAAGAGAGAGGACGGUACUCGAGGAAUAAGGUUCGGCUAACUACGUGCCAGCAGUCGCGGUAAUACGUAGGAACCGAGCGUUGUCCGGAUUUACUGGGCGUAAAGGGCGCGUAGGCGGCUCGUCGUGUCUCAUGUGAAAUCUCCCGGCUCAACUGGGAGCGGUCAUGGGAAACUGGCGAGCUUGAGUACAGUAGAGGAAAGUGGAAUUCACGGAGUAGUGGUGAAAUGCGUAGAUACCGUGAGGAAUACCAGUGGCGAAGGCGACUUUCUGGGCUGUCACUGACGCUGAGGCGCGAGAGCGUGGGGAGCGAACCGG
rnacentral:rRNA from 1 species